GACACGUUAGUGUCAUGGUAGGAGAGCGUUCUAUGUGUGAAGAAGGUGUACCGUGAGGAGCGCUGGAACGCAUAGAAGUGAGAAUGCCGGUAUGAGUAGCGAAAGACAGGUGAGAAUCCUGUCCACCGUAAGACUAAGGUUUCCAGGGGAAGGCUCGUCCGCCCUGGGUUAGUCGGGACCUAAGGAGAGACCGAAAGGUGUAUCCGAUGGCCAACAGGUUGAUAUUCCUGUACUAGAGUAUAAAGUGAUGGAGGGACGCAGUAGGCUAACUAAAGCAGGCGAUUGGAAGAGCCUGUCUAAUCAGUGAGGUGUAAGAUGAGUCAAAUGCUUAUCUUUAUAACAUUGAGCUGUGAUGGGGAGCGAAGUUAAGUAGCGAAGUUAGUGAUGUCACACUGCCAAGAAAAGCUUCUAGCGUUUAAUUAUACUCUACCCGUACCGCAAACCGACACAGGUAGUCGAGGCGAGUAGCCUCAGGUGAUCGAGAGAACUCUCGUUAAGGAACUCGGCAAAAUGACCCCGUAACUUCGGGAGAAGGGGUGCUGACUUACGUCAGCCGCAGUGAAUAGGCCCAAGCAACUGUUUAUCAAAAACACAGCUCUCUGCUAAAUCGUAAGAUGAUGUAUAGGGGGU
rnacentral:rRNA from 1 species